CAUAUCAGAACCUGAGGGACCCAUCCCCGACGGCGAAGAAGCAAUAGAGGAAGGAGAUCCUUCCGGAGCCAGAGACGGAGAGCCGGCGGAAGAAGAUGUUGGUGCCAUUGAUCCCGACGGUGAAGAACCCGGAGAAGAGGACGGAGGUGAUGGAGGAGAAGUCAUCGGAGAAACAGGGGAAGAAGACUCAGGAGACAUUGGUCCCGGCGGAGAAGUCACCGGAGAAGAGGACGGAGAAACAGGGGAUGAGGACUUAGGUGACAUGGAUCCCGGCGGAGAAGUCACCGGAGCAGAGGAGGGAGAAACGGGGGAGGAUGAUUUAGGUGGCAUAGGCGCCGGUGGAGAAGUAGCCGGAGAAACAGGGGAAGAAGAAGACUUAGGUGGCAUUGAACCUGGCGGAGAGUUUCCCGGCGUGGAGGCUUGAGGAGGCGGAGUCGAAGUUCUGACAGACAAGACAACGACGGCAAGCUUUUGUCCCUUCUUACAGUUAUCUUCAUUACCGCUGAUGAAGUAAAACGGACCAGA
rnacentral:lncRNA from 1 species